rnacentral:rRNA from 1 species
UAUGUUAGCUUGCUAAUAUAUUUAGUAGCAAAUGGGUGAGUAACACGUACCUAACCUACCUUUUGGGCCGGGAUAACUAUUGGAAACAGCAGCUAAUACCGGAUAAAAUAAAAAAAUGCAUGUUUUUUUAUUAAAAGGAGCCUUUAAAGCUCCACCAAAAAAUGGGGGUGCGCAACAUUAGUUAGUUGGUAGGGUAAAGGCCUACCAAGACGAUGAUGUUUAGCGGGGCCAAGAGGCUGUACCGCCACACUGGGAUUGAGAUACGGCCCAGACUCCUACGGGAGGCAGCAGUAAGGAAUAUUCCACAAUGAGCGAAAGCUUGAUGGAGCGACACAGAGUGCAG